AACGAACGCUGGCGGCAGGCCUAACACAUGCAAGUCGAACGCCGUAGCAAUACGGAGUGGCAGACGGGUGAGUAACACGUGGGAACAUACCCUUCGGUUCGGAAUAACUCAGGGAAACUUGAGCUAAUACCGGAUACGUCCGCGAGGAGAAAGAUUCAUCGCCGGAGGAUUGGCCCGCGUCUGAUUAGCUUGUUGGUGAGGUAACGGCUCACCAAGGCGACGAUCAGUAGCNGGUCUGAGAGGAUGAUCAGCCACAUUGGGACUGAGACACGGCCCAAACUCCUACGGGAGGCAGCAGUGGGGAAUAUUGGACAAUGGGCGCAAGCCUGAUCCAGCCAUGCCGCGUGAGUGAUGAA
rnacentral:rRNA from 1 species